rnacentral:rRNA from 1 species
GUGCCACGCGGUAAUACAGAGGUCUCAAGCGUUGUUCGGAUUCAUUGGGCGUAAAGGGUGCGUAGGUGGCGCUGUAAGUCGGGUGUGAAAUUUCGGAGCUUAACUCCGAAACUGCAUUCGAUACUGCGGUGCUUGAGGACUGGAGAGGAGACUGGAAUUCAUGGUGUAGCGUGAAAUGCGUAGAGAUCAUGAAGGAAGACCAGUGGCGAAGGCGGGUCUCUGGACAGUUCCUGACACUGAGGCACGAAGGCCAGGGGAGCAAACGGG